UGGACAUGAUAAAGAGAUGAAUCUAAAUGCCCACAGCAUAACUACCAACACUGACUCUUUGAAAUGAAGUCUCACACUGUAAUAUAGAUAUUAUUAUAUUUUGUUGAACUUACUUCCCGUUUAGCAUUGAAAAUGAAUACUAAAUUGGUGAAAAACUUGAGCUAUAUGAAUAACAUCCAAUAAAAAUAAGAAAAUGCAUUUUAUAACACGUUUCACUAUAGAAAAAGUUUG
rnacentral:misc_RNA from 1 species